rnacentral:rRNA from 1 species
UACGGAGGGUGCAAGCAUUGAUCGGAAUUACUGGGCGUAAAGGGCGCGUAGGCGGUAGGAUAAGUCGGAUGUGAAAUUCCGGGGCUCAACCCCGGAGCUGCAUUUGAAACUGUCCUUCUAGAGUUCAGUUAGGGUAAACGGAAUUCCACGUGUAGCGGUGAAAUGCUUAGAUAUGACAUAGAACACCCAUUGCGAAGGCAGCUUACUACACGAUCAUUGACGCUGAGGCACGAAAGCGUGGGGAGCAAACAGG